UUCCUGAUGGAUUCUUCUUUUGUUAUUAGGGCCCGAGCCAGCUGCAGAGCAGCCGGGCGUAGAGCCCUAUUAUUCCUGUAUAGGUUUUUCUUUCUUCUUUCUUUCUUUCUUUCUUCUUAUUUUUCCUCCCCUUUGAAGGGGAAAAUGGCCCACUUCCCACUGGCGAAAACUCAGGAAAUUUGGCAGGACGACCGGGCCUGGUGAAAAAUUCGAUAUUCUGAAGUCGCCCAAACAAUAAAAUGCAAAAUGGCUCCAUAGCGCCCCCUAAGGUGAAAAUUCACACUAUUGACUGUCACGCCUGUACGCUUUGUCAUAUUGACACAAAAAUUGACACACACAUGUAUCUCAAUAAGAUCUACAAAAAAGUCAGUGCGGGCGUAUCUGUCAAAUGUACGGUUAAAGGGUUAUUUCGCAUUUUUUGCAGAUCCGCACACAUUGGAAUUUCGCUAACUCCUCCGAAGGCUUUCGUUCCACCGGCACCACAUUUGCUCAGGCCAAUCUACACUCCAUGGCCAUUCAAAGUUGUACAAAUCAUGAUGCUGCACUCCAUGGUUUAGGUUCUAGGGGGCGCCAAAAAUAACCCAAAAAUCCACAUUCUUAAAAGUUUUAUAACUUUUUUUUUUUGUCCUCACUGGCCUCCAAGUUUUCUAGGAUGAUGCAAUGUCCAGCCAUCAACACAUUUGUAAAGGAAUUUUUACUCCCCAAAAGAGCGCCCCCCCAUGGCAGGACAAAAGAUCAAUUUUUUCUUGUCCCCUAAGGUGAAAAUACACAUUGUUGAGAUUCACGCCUGUAUGCUUUGUCAAAAUGACACAAAAUUUGACACACACGUGUAUCUCAAUAAGAUCUACGAAAAAGUCAAUGCGCGCGUAUCUGUAAAAUGUACGGCUAAACGGCUAUUUUGCAUUUUUUGCCGAUUCGCACACAUUGGAAUGUGGCUAACUCCUCCUAAGGCUUCCGUCCCACUGACACCAAAUUUGCUCAGGCCAAUCUACACCCCAUGGCCAGUCAAAGUUGUAAAAAUCAUGCCGCUGCACCCCAUGGUUUACGUUCUAGGGGGCGCCAAAGAUGACCCAAAUAUCCACAUUCUUAAAAGUCGUUUUGGCCACUGCAGGAGUACAGAGUACUGCAGGAUACACACACACAGACACACACACACACAGACACACACACACACACACGCACACACACACACACACACACACAUACACACUCAGAGUCUGUUUUUUAGCACCUGCAAAAACAUGCUAUUUACAUAUUUGACAACAAUGCAGAGACUUCCUUUUGCCCCUGAAAAAAAUGAAAUUUCAAACACAACUUGACUGCUCAUUUCUCCAAAAGACAUCCAUGAAGCUCCAUCCAAACCUGAAGCAGGCAGUUGGUGCAUGUGUACAGUAACCUGAGGGGAGUGAGGUGACUGCUUCUGAGGAGAACAUGAGCAGUGAAGAUUCACCUUGGAGCUAGAACAGGGACGUGCACAUGAUUAUACAGGGGCAGGGGCUCAAGUUUUUUCCAGUCGUUUAGACAAUAUGGAAAUUAAUGUGAAAUUAAAAAACAAAGUAUUAAUAGAAAGGUAAUGACUGUCCUGUGUAGGUGACAGUGAUAUCCAAUAGGCUAGGCACUCACGAGGCUGGCUGUGGCAAGUGCAAGUGAAAGCCACACGCACUGGCAGGAAGAACGCCGAUGAAGGAAAAGGGUCUUCGCAGUGAUGGGCGUUACCAGAGAGGGCGAUGGCCAGAGGACGCGAAUGGGACGGGGAGGCAGCGCGUUGGGGGGGGGGGCGCGACACAGCUCGGGCCCGCCAGUGCCCCAACGGGGCCCUAGUUUGUUAUUAGGGCCCGAGCGUAGCUGCUAAGCAGCUGCGAGAGCCCUCUUGUUCCUGAUGGAUUCUUCUUUCGUUAUUAGGGCCCGAGCGUAGCUGCUAAGCAGCUGCGAGAGCCCUAUUAUUCCCCAAGUGGUUUUUCUUUGUUUCUUUUUAGGGCCCGAGCGUAGCUGCUAAGCAGCUGCGAGAGCCCUCUUGUUCCUGAUGGAUUCUUCUUUUGUUAUUAUUAGGGCCCGAGCGUAGCUGCUCAGCAGCUGCGAGAGCCCUCUUGUUCCUGAUGGAUUCUUCUUUCGUUAUUUUUCCUCCGCUUUAAACUGGAAAAUGGCCCACUUCCCACUGACGAAAACUCAGGAAAUUUGGCAGGACGACCGGGCCUGGUGAAAAAUUUGAUAUUCUGAAGUCGCCCAAACAAAAAAAUGAAAAAUGGCUCCAUAGCGCCCCCUAUGGUGAAAACUCACCUGACACCUGUACGCUUUGUCAAAAUGACACAAAAUUUGACACACAUGUGUAUCUCAAUAAGAUCUAUGAAAAAGUCAACGGGCACGUAAGUGUAAAAUGUACUGUUAAAGGGCUAUUUUGCAUUUUUUGCCGAUUCGCACACAUUGGAAUUUUGCUAACUCCUCCUAAGGCUUUCGUUCCACCGGCACCACAUUUGCACAGGCCAAUCUACACCCCAUGGCCAUUAAAAGUUGUACAAAUCAUGACGCUGCACCCCACGGUUUAGGUUCUAGGGGGCGCCAAAGAUAACCCAAAAAUCCACAUUCUUAAAAGUCUUAUAACUUUUUAAUUUUGUCCUCACUGGCCUCCAAGUUUUAUAGGAUGAUGCAAUGUCCAGCCAUCAACACAUUUGUGAAGGAAUUUUUACUCCCCAAAAGAGCGCCCCCAUGGCAGGAGAAAAAAGGCAAUUUUUUCUUGUCCCCUAAGGUGAAAAUACACAUUGUUGAGUGUCACACCUAUACGCUUUGUCAUAUUGACACAAAAUUUGACAAUCACGUGUAUCUCAAUCAGAUCUACGAAAAACUCAAUAGGCACGUAUCUGUAAAAUGUACGGUUAAAGGGCUAUUCCGCAUUUUUUGCCGAUCCGCACACAUUGGAAUGUGGCUAACUCCUCCUAAGGCUUCCGUCCCACUGACACCAAAUUUGCUCAGGCCAAUCUACACCCCAUGGCCAGUCAAAGUUGUAAAAAUCAUGCCGCUGCACCCCAUGGUUUACGUUCUAGGGGGCGCCAAAGAUGACCCAAAUAUCCACAUUCUUAAAAGUCGUUUUGGCCACUGCAGGAGUACAGAGUACUGCAGGAUACACACACACAGACACACACACACACAGACACACACACACACACACGCACACACACACACACACACACACAUACACACUCAGAGUCUGUUUUUUAGCACCUGCAAAAACAUGCUAUUUACAUAUUUGACAACAAUGCAGAGACUUCCUUUUGCCCCUGAAAAAAAUGAAAUUUCAAACACAACUUGACUGCUCAUUUCUCCAAAAGACAUCCAUGAAGCUCCAUCCAAACCUGAAGCAGGCAGUUGGUGCAUGUGUACAGUAACCUGAGGGGAGUGAGGUGACUGCUUCUGAGGAGAACAUGAGCAGUGAAGAUUCACCUUGGAGCUAGAACAGGGACGUGCACAUGAUUAUACAGGGGCAGGGGCUCAAGUUUUUUCCAGUCGUUUAGACAAUAUGGAAAUUAAUGUGAAAUUAAAAAACAAAGUAUUAAUAGAAAGGUAAUGACUGUCCUGUGUAGGUGACAGUGAUAUCCAAUAGGCUAGGCACUCACGAGGCUGGCUGUGGCAAGUGCAAGUGAAAGCCACACGCACUGGCAGGAAGAACGCCGAUGAAGGAAAAGGGUCUUCGCAGUGAUGGGCGUUACCAGAGAGGGCGAUGGCCAGAGGACGCGAAUGGGACGGGGAGGCAGCGCGUUGGGGGGGGGGGGGGGGCGACACAGCUCGGGCCCGCCAGUGCCCCAACGGGGCCCUAGUUUGUUAUUAGGGCCCGAGCGUAGCUGCUAAGCAGCUGCGAGAGCCCUCUUGUUCCUGAUGGAUUCUUCUUUCGUUAUUAGGGCCCGAGCGUAGCUGCUAAGCAGCUGCGAGAGCCCUAUUAUUCCCCAAGUGGUUUUUCUUUGUUUCUUUUUAGGGCCCGAGCGUAGCUGCUAAGCAGCUGCGAGAGCCCUCUUGUUCCUGAUGGAUUCUUCUUUUGUUAUUAUUAGGGCCCGAGCGUAGCUGCUCAGCAGCUGCGAGAGCCCUCUUGUUCCUGAUGGAUUCUUCUUUCGUUAUUUUUCCUCCGCUUUAAACUGGAAAAUGGCCCACUUCCCACUGACGAAAACUCAGGAAAUUUGGCAGGACGACCGGGCCUGGUGAAAAAUUUGAUAUUCUGAAGUCGCCCAAACAAAAAAAUGAAAAAUGGCUCCAUAGCGCCCCCUAUGGUGAAAACUCACCUGACACCUGUACGCUUUGUCAAAAUGACACAAAAUUUGACACACAUGUGUAUCUCAAUAAGAUCUAUGAAAAAGUCAACGGGCACGUAAGUGUAAAAUGUACUGUUAAAGGGCUAUUUUGCAUUUUUUGCCGAUUCGCACACAUUGGAAUUUUGCUAACUCCUCCUAAGGCUUUCGUUCCACCGGCACCACAUUUGCACAGGCCAAUCUACACCCCAUGGCCAUUAAAAGUUGUACAAAUCAUGACGCUGCACCCCACGGUUUAGGUUCUAGGGGGCGCCAAAGAUAACCCAAAAAUCCACAUUCUUAAAAGUCUUAUAACUUUUUAAUUUUGUCCUCACUGGCCUCCAAGUUUUAUAGGAUGAUGCAAUGUCCAGCCAUCAACACAUUUGUGAAGGAAUUUUUACUCCCCAAAAGAGCGCCCCCAUGGCAGGAGAAAAAAGGCAAUUUUUUCUUGUCCCCUAAGGUGAAAAUACACAUUGUUGAGUGUCACACCUAUACGCUUUGUCAUAUUGACACAAAAUUUGACAAUCACGUGUAUCUCAAUCAGAUCUACGAAAAACUCAAUAGGCACGUAUCUGUAAAAUGUACGGUUAAAGGGCUAUUCCGCAUUUUUUGCCGAUCCGCACACAUUGGAAUGUGGCUAACUCCUCCUAGGGCUUUCGUCCCAUUGGCACCAAAUUUGCUCAGGCAAAUCUACACCCCAUGGCCAUUCAAAGUUGUAAAAAUCAUGACGCUGCACCCCACGGUCUACGUUCUAGGGGGCGCCAAAGAUAACCCAAAAAUCCACAUUCUUAAAAGUCUAAUAACCUUUUAUUUUUGUCCUCACUGGCCUCCAAGUUUUCUAGGAUGAUGCAAUGUCCAGCCAUCAACACAUUUGUGAAGGAAUUUUUUCUCCCCAAAAGAGCGCCCCCCCAUGGCAGGAGAAAAAGUCAAGUUUUUCCUGCCCAUCGCUCAAUGGCUCAAACGCAUCGCUCUCCCGGCAAAACCGAAAGGAGGAGCAACUUGCCAUUUGGAUAUAUACUAGCUGUGUUUGUGCCCUCACUCAUGGUCCAGACUAUUUUCAAAAAGGACAUGGAGUUUGUCUGCAGCGAGUGUUUUGGUAGAAACUGCGCCUCCCAUUCAUUAUAAUUGUAAAUGACCACAGACAAGUGCGCACACCAUCUUUGGACCUUGAGUGUGACGCAAUCGGGAGGGGGAGGCGGUCACGCUGGGGGCGGCGCGACACGGCUCGGGCCCGCCAGUGCCCCACCGGGGCCCUAGUUAUUAUUUUUCCUCCGCUUUAAACUGGAAAAUGGCCCACUUCCCACUGGCGAAAACUCAGGAAAUUUGGCAGGACGACCGGGCCUGGUGAAAAAUUCGAUAUUCUGAAGUCGCCCAAACAAUAAAAUGCAAAAUGGCUCCAUAGCGCCCCCUAAGGUGAAAAUUCACACUAUUGACUGUCACGCCUGUACGCUUUGUCAUAUUGACACAAAAAUUGACACACACAUGUAUCUCAAUACGAUCUACAAAAAAGUCAGUGCGGGCGUAUCUGUCAAAUGUACGGUUAAAGGGUUAUUUCGCAUUUUUUGCAGAUCCGCACACAUUGGAAUUUCGCUAACUCCUCCGAAGGCUUUCGUUCCACCGGCACCACAUUUGCUCAGGCCAAUCUACACUCCAUGGCCAUUCAAAGUUGUACAAAUCAUGAUGCUGCACCCCAUGGUUUAGGUUCUAGGGGGCGCCAAAAAUAACCCAAAAAUCCACAUUUUUAAAAGUUUUAUAACUUUUUUUUUUUGUCCUCACUGGCCUCCAAGUUUUCUAGGAUGAUGCAAUGUCCAGCCAUCAACACAUUUGUGAAGGAAUUUUUACUCCCCAAAAGAGCGCCCCCCCAUGGCAGGACAAAAAAGUCCAUUUUUUCUUGUCCACUAAGGUGAAAAUUCACACUAUUGACUGUCACGCCUGUACGCUUUGUCAUAUUGACACAAAAAUUGACACACACAUGUAUCUCAAUAAGAUCUACAAAAAAGUCAGUGCGGGCGUAUCUGUCAAAUGUACGGUUAAAGGGUUAUUUCGCAUUUUUUGCAGAUCCGCACACAUUGGAAUUUCGCUAACUCCUCCGAAGGCUUUCGUUCCACCGGCACCACAUUUGCUCAGGCCAAUCUACACUCCAUGGCCAUUCAAAGUUGUACAAAUCAUGAUGCUGCACCCCAUGGUUUAGGUUCUAGGGGGCGCCAAAAAUAACCCAAAAAUCCACAUUUUUAAAAGUUUUAUAACUUUUUUUUUUUGUCCUCACUGGCCUCCAAGUUUUCUAGGAUGAUGCAAUGUCCAGCCAUCAACACAUUUGUGAAGGAAUUUUUACUCCCCAAAAGAGCGCCCCCCCAUGGCAGGACAAAAAAGUCCAUUUUUUCUUGUCCACUAAGGUGAAAAUUCACACUAUUGACUGUCACGCCUGUACGCUUUGUCAUAUUGACACAAAAAUUGACACACACAUGUAUCUCAAUAAGAUCUACAAAAAAGUCAGUGCGGGCGUAUCUGUCAAAUGUACGGUUAAAGGGUUAUUUCGCAUUUUUUGCAGAUCCCCACACAUUGGAAUUUCGCUAACUCCUCCGAAGGCUUUCGUUCCACCGGCACCACAUUUGCACAGGCCAAUCUACACUCCAUGGCCAUUCAAAGUUGUACAAAUCAUGAUGCUGCACCCCAUGGUUUAGGUUCUAGGGGGCGCCAAAAAUAACCCAAAAAUCCACAUUCUUAAAAGUUUUAUAACUUUUUAUUUUUGUCCUCACUGGCCUCCAAAUUUUCUAGGAUGAUGCAAUGUCCAGCCAUCAACACAUUUGUGAAGGAAUUUUUACUCCCCAAAAGAGCGCCCCCCCAUGGCAGGACAAAAAAGUCCAUUUUUUCUUGUCCCCUAAGGUGAAAAUACACAUUGUUGAGAUUCACGCCUGUACGCUUUGUCAUAUUGACAAAAAAAUUUGACACACACGUGUAUCUCAAUAAGAUCUACGAAAAAGUCAAUGCGCGCGUAUCUGUAAAAUGUACGGCUAAAGGGCUAUUUUGCUUUUUUUGCCCAUUCGCACACAUUGGAAUGUGGCUAACUCCUCCUAAGGCUUUCGUCCCACUGACACCAAAUUUGCUCAGGCCAAUCUACACCCCAUGGCCAUUAAAAGUCGUAAAAAUCAUGCCGCUGCACUCCAUGGUUCACGUUCAAGGGGGCGCCAAAGAGGACCCAAAUAUCCACAUUUUCAAAAGUCUUAUAACUUUUUGUUUUUGUCCUCACUGGCCUCCAAGUUUUCUAGGAUAAUGCAAUGUUCAGCCAUCAACACAUUUGUUAAAGAAUUUUUUCUCCCCAAAAGAGCGCCCCCCCAUGGCAGGAGAAAAAGUUAAGUUUUUCCUGCCCAAUGCCCAAUGGCUCAAACGCAUCGCUCUCUCGGCAAAACCGAAAGGAGGAGCAACUUGCCAUUUGGAUAUAUCGAAGCUGUGUUUGUGCCCUCACUCAUGGUCCAGACUUUUUUCAAAAAGGACAUGGAGUUUGUCUGCAGCGAGCAUUUUGGUAGAAACUGCGCCUCGCAUUCAUUAUAAUGGUAAAUGACCACAGACAAGUGCGCACACCAUCUUUGGACCUUGAGUGUGACGCGAUCGGGAGGGGGAGGGGGUCGCGCUGGGGGCGGCGCGACACGGCUCGGGCCCGCCAGUGCCCCACCGGGGCCCUAGUUAGGGCCCGAGCGUAGCUGCUCAGCAGCUGCGAGAGCCCUCUUGUUCCUGAUGGAUUCUUCUUUCGUUAUUUUUCCUCCGCUUUAAACUGGAAAAUGGCCCACUUCCCACUGACGAAAACUCAGGAAAUUUGGCAGGACGACCGGGCCUGGUGAAAAAUUUGAUAUUCUGAAGUCGCCCAAACAAAAAAAUGAAAAAUGGCUCCAUAGCGCCCCCUAUGGUGAAAACUCACCUGACACCUGUACGCUUUGUCAAAAUGACACAAAAUUUGACACACAUGUGUAUCUCAAUAAGAUCUAUGAAAAAGUCAACGGGCACGUAAGUGUAAAAUGUACUGUUAAAGGGCUAUUUUGUAUUUUUUGCCGAUUCGCACACAUUGGAAUUUUGCUAACUCCUCCUAAGGCUUUCGUUCCACCGGCACCACAUUUGCACAGGCCAAUCUACACCCCAUGGCCAUUAAAAGUUGUACAAAUCAUGACGCUGCACCCCACGGUUUAGGUUCUAGGGGGCGCCAAAGAUAACCCAAAAAUCCACAUUCUUAAAAGUCUUAUAACUUUUUAAUUUUGUCCUCACUGGCCUCCAAGUUUUAUAGGAUGAUGCAAUGUCCAGCCAUCAACACAUUUGUGAAGGAAUUUUUACUCCCCAAAAGAGCGCCCCCAUGGCAGGAGAAAAAAGGCAAUUUUUUCUUGUCCCCUAAGGUGAAAAUACACAUUGUUGAGUGUCACACCUAUACGCUUUGUCAUAUUGACACAAAAUUUGACAAUCACGUGUAUCUCAAUCAGAUCUACGAAAAACUCAAUAGGCACGUAUCUGUAAAAUGUACGGUUAAAGGGCUAUUCCGCAUUUUUUGCCGAUCCGCACACAUUGGAAUGUGGCUAACUCCUCCUAGGGCUUUCGUCCCAUUGGCACCAAAUUUGCUCAGGCAAAUCUACACCCCAUGGCCAUUCAAAGUUGUAAAAAUCAUGACGCUGCACCCCACGGUCUACGUUCUAGGGGGCGCCAAAGAUAACCCAAAAAUCCACAUUCUUAAAAGUCUAAUAACCUUUUAUUUUUGUCCUCACUGGCCUCCAAGUUUUCUAGGAUGAUGCAAUGUCCAGCCAUCAACACAUUUGUGAAGGAAUUUUUUCUCCCCAAAAGAGCGCCCCCCAUGGCAGGAGAAAAAGUCAAGUUUUUCCUGCCCAUCGCUCAAUGGCUCAAACGCAUCGCUCUCCCGGCAAAACCGAAAGGAGGAGCAACUUGCCAUUUGGAUAUAUACUAGCUGUGUUUGUGCCCUCACUCAUGGUCCAGACUAUUUUCAAAAAGGACAUGGAGUUUGUCUGCAGCGAGUGUUUUGGUAGAAACUGCGCCUCCCAUUCAUUAUAAUUGUAAAUGACCACAGACAAGUGCGCACACCAUCUUUGGACCUUGAGUGUGACGCAAUCGGGAGGGGGAGGCGGUCACGCUGGGGGCGGCGCGACACGGCUCGGGCCCGCCAGUGCCCCACCGGGGCCCUAGUUAUUAUUUUUCCUCCGCUUUAAACUGGAAAAUGGCCCACUUCCCACUGGCGAAAACUCAGGAAAUUUGGCAGGACGACCGGGCCUGGUGAAAAAUUCGAUAUUCUGAAGUCGCCCAAACAAUAAAAUGCAAAAUGGCUCCAUAGCGCCCCCUAAGGUGAAAAUUCACACUAUUGACUGUCACGCCUGUACGCUUUGUCAUAUUGACACAAAAAUUGACACACACAUGUAUCUCAAUACGAUCUACAAAAAAGUCAGUGCGGGCGUAUCUGUCAAAUGUACGGUUAAAGGGUUAUUUUGCAUUUUUUGCAGAUCCGCACACAUUGGAAUUUCGCUAACUCCUCCGAAGGCUUUCGUUCCACCGGCACCACAUUUGCUCAGGCCAAUCUACACUCCAUGGCCAUUCAAAGUUGUACAAAUCAUGAUGCUGCACCCCAUGGUUUAGGUUCUAGGGGGCGCCAAAAAUAACCCAAAAAUCCACAUUUUUAAAAGUUUUAUAACUUUUUUUUUUUGUCCUCACUGGCCUCCAAGUUUUCUAGGAUGAUGCAAUGUCCAGCCAUCAACACAUUUGUGAAGGAAUUUUUACUCCCCAAAAGAGCGCCCCCCCAUGGCAGGACAAAAAAGUCCAUUUUUUCUUGUCCACUAAGGUGAAAAUUCACACUAUUGACUGUCACGCCUGUACGCUUUGUCAUAUUGACACAAAAAUUGACACACACAUGUAUCUCAAUAAGAUCUACAAAAAAGUCAGUGCGGGCGUAUCUGUCAAAUGUACGGUUAAAGGGUUAUUUUGCAUUUUUUGCAGAUCUGCACACAUUGGAAUUUCGCUAACUCCUCCGAAGGCUUUCGUUCCACUGGCACCACAUUUGCUCAGGCCAAUCUACACUCCAUGGCCAUUCAAAGUUGUACAAAUCAUGAUGCUGCACCCCAUGGUUUAGGUUCUAGGGGGCGCCAAAAAUAACCCAAAAAUCCACAUUUUUAAAAGUUUUAUAACUUUUUUUUUUUGUCCUCACUGGCCUCCAAGUUUUCUAGGAUGAUGCAAUGUCCAGCCAUCAACACAUUUGUGAAGGAAUUUUUACUCCCCAAAAGAGCGCCCCCCCAUGGCAGGACAAAAAAGUCCAUUUUUUCUUGUCCACUAAGGUGAAAAUUCACACUAUUGACUGUCACGCCUGUACGCUUUGUCAUAUUGACACAAAAAUUGACACACACAUGUAUCUCAAUAAGAUCUACAAAAAAGUCAGUGCGGGCGUAUCUGUCAAAUGUACGGUUAAAGGGUUAUUUUGCAUUUUUUUCAGAUCCGCACACAUUGGAAUUUCGCUAACUCCUCCGAAGGCUUUCGUUCCACCGGCACCACAUUUGCUCAGGCCAAUCUACACUCCAUGGCCAUUCAAAGUUGUACAAAUCAUGAUGCUGCACCCCAUGGUUUAGGUUCUAGGGGGCGCCAAAAAUAACCCAAAAAUCCACAUUCUUAAAAGUUUUAUAACUUUUUAUUUUUGUCCUCACUGGCCUCCAAAUUUUCUAGGAUGAUGCAAUGUCCAGCCAUCAACACAUUUGUGAAGGAAUUUUUACUCCCCAAAAGAGCGCCCCCCCAUGGCAGGACAAAAAAGUCCAUUUUUUCUUGUCCCCUAAGGUGAAAAUACACAUUGUUGAGAUUCACGCCUGUACGCUUUGUCAUAUUGACAAAAAAAUUUGACACACACGUGUAUCUCAAUAAGAUCUACGAAAAAGUCAAUGCGCGCGUAUCUGUAAAAUGUACGGCUAAAGGGCUAUUUUGCUUUUUUUGCCCAUUCGCACACAUUGGAAUGUGGCUAACUCCUCCUAAGGCUUUCGUCCCACUGACACCAAAUUUGCUCAGGCCAAUCUACACCCCAUGGCCAUUAAAAGUCGUAAAAAUCAUGCCGCUGCACUCCACGGUUCACGUUCAAGGGGGCGCCAAAGAGGACCCAAAUAUCCACAUUUUCAAAAGUCUUAUAACUUUUUGUUUUUGUCCUCACUGGCCUCCAAGUUUUCUAGGAUAAUGCAAUGUUCAGCCAUCAACACAUUUGUUAAAGAAUUUUUUCUCCCCAAAAGAGCGCCCCCCCAUGGCAGGAGAAAAAGUUAAGUUUUUCCUGCCCAAUGCCCAAUGGCUCAAACGCAUCGCUCUCUCGGCAAAACCGAAAGGAGGAGCAACUUGCCAUUUGGAUAUAUCGAAGCUGUGUUUGUGCCCUCACUCAUGGUCCAGACUUUUUUCAAAAAGGACAUGGAGUUUGUCUGCAGCGAGCAUUUUGGUAGAAACUGCGCCUCGCAUUCAUUAUAAUGGUAAAUGACCACAGACAAGUGCGCACACCAUCUUUGGACCUUGAGUGUGACGCGAUCGGGAGGGGGAGGGGGUCGCGCUGGGGGCGGCGCAACACGGCUCGGGCCAGUGGCCCACCGGGGCCCUAGUUAGGGCCCGAGCGUAGCUGCUAAGCAGCUGCGAGAGCCCUCUUGUUCCUGCAUGUUUCCUUCUUUCGUUAUUAUUUUUCCUCCGCUUUAAACUGGAAAAUGGCCCACUUCCCACUGGCGAAAACUCAGGAAAUUUGGCAGGACGACCGGGCCUGGUGAAAAAUUCGAUAUUCUGAAGUCGCCCAAACAAUAAAAUGCAAAAUGGCUCCAUAGCGCCCCCUAAGGUGAAAAUUCACAUGACGGCUGUACGCUUUGUCAUAUUGACACAAAAAUUGACACACACAUGUAUCUCAAUAAGAUCUACAAAAAAGUCAGUGCGGGCGUAUCUGUCAAAUGUACGGUUAAUGGGUUAUUUUGCAUUUUUUGCAGAUCUGCACACAUUGGAAUUUCGCUAACUCCUCCGAAGGCUUUCGUUCGACCGGCACCACAUUUGCGCAGGCCAAUCUACACCCCAUGGCCAUUAAAAGUUGUACAAAUCAUGACGCUGCACCCCACGGUUUACGUUCUAGGGGGCGCCAAAGAUAACCCAAAAUCCACAUUCUUAAAAGUCUUAUAACUUUUUAUUUUUGUCCUCACUGCCCUCCAAGUUUUCUAGGAUGAUGCAAUGUCCAGCCAUCAACACAUUUGUGAAGGAAUUUUUACUCCCCAAAAGAGCGCCCCCCCAUGGCAGGAGAAAAAAGUCAAUUUUUUCUUGUCCCCUUACAUGAAAAUACACAUUGUUGAGUGUCACGCCUGAACGCUUUGUCAUAUUGACACAAAAAUUGACAAUCAUGUGUAUCUCAAUUAGAUCUACGAAAAAGUCAAAAAGCGCGUAUCUGUAUAAUGUACGGUUAAAGGGCUAUUUCGCAUUUUAUGCCGAUUCGCACACAUUGGAAUGUGGCUAUCUCCUCCUAAGGCUUUCGUCCCACCGAUACCAAAUUUGCUCAGGGCAAUCUACACCCCAUGCCCAUUCAAAGUUGUAAAAAUCAUGACGCUGCACCCCACGGUUUACGUUCUAGGGGGCGCCAAAGAUGACCCAAAAAUCCACAUUCUUAAAAGUCAUUUUGGCCACUGCAGGAGUACAGAGUACUGCAGUUCUAGGGGGCGCCAAAGAUGACCCAAAAAUCCACAUUCUUAAAAGUCUUUUUGGCCACUGCAGGAGUACAGAGUACUGCAGGAUACACACACAUACACACACACACACACACACACACACACACACACACACACACACACACACACACACUCAGAGUCUGUUUUUUAGCACCUGCAAAAACAUGCUGUUUACAUAUUUGACAAGAAUGCAGAGGCUUCCUUUUGCCCCUGAAAAAAAUCAGAUUUCAAACACAACUUGACUGUUCAUUUCUCCAAAAGACAACCAUGAAGCUCCAUCCAAACCUGAAGCAGAUAGUUGGUGCAUGUGUACAGUAACCUGAGGGGAGUGAGGUGACUAUUUCUGAGGAGAACAUGAGCAGUGAAGAUUCACCUUGGAGCUAGAACAGGGACGUGCACAUGAUUAUACAGGGGCAGGGGCUCAAGUUUUUUCCAGUCAUUUAUACAAUAUGGAAAUUAAUGUGAAAUUAAACCACAAAUAUGUGUGAUGAACUGUUUUUAAAACUUAAACUUCAAAUAAAAAUUGUAAACUUCAAAACAUAUGCAAAUUUUUAACAAAGAACAUAGUAAUUUACCUCUAUUUACAUCAAAAUGCAGGCAAUGGCCCAGGCGUUCUUUGUAAAAUUAUUUACAAAACACUGUAUAGUCUCACAAAUGUCACUUUUUAUUUAUGCCACUACAAAAAAACAUGAUGUAAAUGAUGCAUGAUGUAAAACAUGAUGUAAAAAACUUGUGUAGAUCCUCCUCUAUGUCAGUCCAUGUGUAAUUUUUCCAUAAUUCUUUGUUUUUUGCAGCAUUUUUGUUAGUGUAACUGCAGAUUGUGCUGACAGUCUAUGGCAAAAAAAACAAAAACUGAAAAUGCCUCAACAUGAACCCCUGGUGGUCUCUGAGGGUGAAACCUGCUAACUGCUGCAGCUCUGUCAGCUUCAGUCUCCCAUGCAGAGCUCGGAGCGCAUGUGUGGCUCUGCACCCUUAGCAGCGUUGCUAACUCCUCAGUAAGGAAAGCCUGCUUCAUGUCAGAGUCUCUAAACUCCAGAAGAAGUCGAUAAAAGUCCCUUUCUUUCUAAAAAAAAGUCGUUAGGGGGUCUGAAAAGUAAUUGAAUCUAACAACAAAGUCGCUAGGUUUGCAACUACGUGUCCCAGACUGCAUCCCUGCUGAGAGUCCCUCCCUCCCUUCUCAUGUUGCAGGAAGAACGUAAGCGCCCGCCCCUUGUCAAUCAGUCACCAUAUAAUUUUGGAUUGGUUGUUGUGGUGAAGUUUUCCACCAAUAGGAGAGAUGUUGUGGUGUGUUUUUUUUUUCUUUUGGCAAGCCUUUUCCGCCUGUAAGACCUGUCGCUAAUGUGUGCAUGCUAUGUUUUCCUGUCUCAUACAGCGCGAUCGAGCGCCGAACGUGAUCAAAACAAGCAGAAAAAAAGUAUCGCGGACAUAAUUUAUCAUAACUCUGGUUUUAUUUGGCCUAUCAACACAAUUUAAAAACUGGUAUAUAGGUUGAGGUCCUCACUUUUGAGACCUAACUCUCAGAUGAAUCUUCAAAAUUCACCUCAGAAAUAUGCUUAUUAUUCUUCUCAGAGUACUGCAAGAUACACACACACACACACACAGACACACACGCACACACACACACACACACACACACACACACACACACACACUCAGAGUCUGUUUUUUAGCACCUGCAAAAACAUGCUAUUUACAUAUUUGACAAGAAUGCAGAGGCUUCCCUUUGCCCCUGAAAAAAAUCAAAUUUCAAACACAACUUGACUGGUCAUUUCUCCAAAAGACAACCAUGAAGCUCCAUCUAAACCUGAAGCAGGCAGUUGGUGCAUGUGUACAGUAACCUGAGGGGAGUGAGGUGAGUGCUUCUGAGGAGAACAUGAGCAGUGAAGAUUCACCUUGGAGCUAGAACAGGGACGUGCACAUGAUAAUACAGGGGCAGGGGCUCAAGUUUUUUCCAGUCGUUUAUACAAUAUGGAAAUUAAUGUGAAAUUAAAAAACAAAGUAUGACUGUCCUGUGUAGGUGACAGUGAUAUCCAAUAGGCUAGGCACUCACGAGGCUGGCUGUGGCAAGUGUAAGUGAAAGCAACACGCACUGGCAGGAAGAACCGAUGAAGGAAAAGGGUCUUUGCAGUGAUGGGCGUUACCAGAGAGGGCGAUGGCCAGAGGAAACGAAUGGGACGGGGAGGCAGCGCGUUGGGGGGGGGGGGGGGGGUGACACGGCUCGGGCCCACCAGUGCCCCAACGGGGCCCUAGUUAGGGCCCGAGCGUAGCAGCUGCGAGAGCCCUCUUGUUCCUGAUGGAUUCUUCUUUCGUUAUUUUUCCUCCGCUUUAAACUGGAAAAUGGCCCACUUCCCACUGGCGAAAACUCAGGAAAUUUGGCAGGACGACCGGGCCUGGUGAAAAAUUUGAUAUUCUGAAGUCGUCCAAACAAAAAAAAUGAAAAAUGGCUCCAUAGCGCCCCCUAUGGUGAAAACUCACCUGAUGCCUGUACGCUUUGUCAUUUUGACACAAAAAUUGACACACACGUGUAUCUCAAUACGGUCUACGAAAAAGUCAGUGCGGGCGCAUCUGUCAAAUGUACGGUUAAAGGGCUAUUUCGCUUUUUUUGCCGAUCCGCACACAUUGGAAUUUCGCUAACUCCUCCGAAGGCUUUCGUUCCACCGGCACCAAAUUUGCUCAGGCCAAUCUACACCCCAUGGCCAUUAAAAGUUGUACAAAUCAUGACGCUGCACCCCACGGUUUAGGUUCUAGGGGGCGCCAAAGAUAACCCAAAAAUCCACAUUCUUAAAAGUCUUAUAACUUUUUAUUUUUGUCCUCACUGGCCUCCAAGGUUUCUAGGAUGAUGCAAUGUCCAGCCAUCAACUCAUUUGUGAAGGAAUUUUUACUCCCCAAAAGAGCGCCCCCCCAUGGCAGGAGAAAAAAGUCCAUUUUUUCUUGUCUCCUAAGGUAAAAAUACACAUUGUUGAGUGUCACGCCUAUACACUUUGUCAUAUUGACACACAAUUUGACAAUCACGUGUAUCUCAAUAAGAUCUACAAAAAAGUCAAUAGGCACGUAUCUGUCAAAUGUACGGUUAAAGGGCUAUUUCGCAUUUUUUGCCGAUUCGCACACAUUGGAAUGUGGCUAUCUCCUUCUAAGGCUUUCGUCCCACCGAUACCAAAUUUGCUCAGGCCAAUCUACACCCCAUGGCCAUUCAAAGUUGUAAAAAUCAUGCUGCUGCACCCCACGGUUUAGGUUCUAGGGGGCGCCAAAGAUGACCCAAAUAUCCAUAUUCUUAAAAGUGUUAUAACUUUUUAUUUUUGUCCUCACUGGCCUCCAAGUUUUCUAGGAUGAUGCAAUGUCCAGCCAUCAACACAUUUGUAAAGGAAUUUUUACUCCUGAAAAAGAGCGCCCCCCCAUGGCAGGAGAAAAGAGUCCAUUUUUUCUUGUCCCCUAAGGUGAAAAAACACAUUGUUGACUGUCACGCCUAUACGCUUUGUCAAAAUGACACAAAAUUUGACACACACGUGUAUCUCAAUAAGAUCUACGAAAAAGUCAAUGGGCACGUAUCUGUAAAAUGUACGGUUAAAGGGCUAUUUCGCAUUUUUUGGCGAUUCGCACACAUUGGAAUGUGGCUAACUCCUCCUAGAGCUUUCGUUUAACCGACACCAAAUUUGCUCAGGCCAAUCUACACCCCAUCACUUUUUAUUUUUGUCCUCACUGGCCUCCAAGUUUUCUAGGAUGAUGCAAUGUCCAGCCAUCAACACAUUUGUACAGGAAUUUUUACUCCUUAAAAGAGCGCCCCCCAUGGCAGGAGAAAAAAAUCCAUUUUUUCUUGUCCCAUUAGGUGAAAAUACACACUGUUCAGUGUCACGCCUGUACGCUUUGUCUUAUUGACACAAAAUUUUACAAUCACGUGUAUCUCAAUAAGAUCUACGAAGAAGUCAAUGCGCACGUAUCUGUAAAAUGUACGGUUAAAGGGCUAUUUUGCAUUUUGUGCCGAUUCGCACACAUUGGAAUGCGGCUAACUCCUCCUAAAGCUUUCGUCCCACCGACACCAAAUUUGCUCAGGCCAAUCUACACCCCAUGGCCAUUCAAAGUUGUACAAAUCAUGACGCUGCACCCCACGGUUUAGGUUCUAGGGGGCGCCAAAGAGGACCUAAAUAUCCACAUUUUUAAAAGUCUUAUAACUUUUUAUUUUUGUCCUCACUGGCCUCCAAGUUUUCUAGGAUGAUGCAAUGUCCAGCCAUCAACACAUUUGUGAAGGAAUUUUUACUCCCCAAAAGAGCGCCCCCCCAUGGCAGGAGAAAAAGUCAAGUUUUUCCUGCCCAUCGCUCAAUGGCUCAAACGCAUCGCUCUCUCGGCAAAACCGAAAGGAGGAGCAACUUGCCAUUUGGAUAUAUACUAGCUGUGUUUGUGCCCUCACUCAUGGUCCAGACUUUUUUCAAAAAGGACAUGGAGUUUGUCUGCAGCGAGCGUUUUGGUAGAAACUGCGCCUCCCAUUCAUUAUAAUGGUAAAUGACCACAGACAAGUGCGCACACCAUCUUUGGACCUUGAGUGUGACGCGAUCGGGAGGGGGAGGCGGUCGCGCUGGGGGCGGUGCGACGCGGCUCGGGCCCGACAGUGCCCCACCGGGGCCCUAGUUAGGGACCGAGCCAGCUGCAGAGCAGCCGGGUGUAGAGCCCUAUUAUUCCUGUAUAGGUUUUUCUUUCUUCUUUCUUUCUUUCUUUCUUUCUUUCUUCUUAUUUUUCCUCCCCUUUGAAGGGGAAAAUGGCCCACUUCCCACUGGCGAAAACUCAUGAAAUUUGGCAGGACGACCGGGCCUGGUGAAAAAUUCGAUAUUCUGAAGUCGCCCAAACAAUAAAAUGCAAAAUGGCUCCAUAGCGCCCCCUAAGGCGAAAAUUCACACUAUUGACUGUCACGCCUGUACGCUUUGUCAUUUUGACACAAAAAUUGACACACACGUGUAUCUCAAUACGGUCUACGAAAAAGUCAGUGCGGGCGCAUCUGUCAAAUGUACGG
rnacentral:lncRNA from 1 species